ACCAAAUGCACAGAACAUUUUCGAAAUACUACCUCACCCAUUUCUUGCAUGUUUUUUCUGCAGAGCCCUAUGCAAACGGCACAAAUGGAAAUGCCUGUUACGAUCUGGGAAGGAAAAGUUAAUCAUGUUGGAUUCCCACAGCAUUUGCUUUGCACAGGAGCUGGCCGAAGUGCUGAACUGCCAUAGAAUCAUCUGUCUUACGGUUAAACAACUGCAAAUGGUGUUCUGGAACUCUCAGAUCUCUGGAUGAUGUACACAAGCCAGUAUUGAAGUGCAUAUUUGCAAUGAGAGCAGUAAAAGAGGUCAAGCAAAGAACAAAAAUCCUUGGCCACAAGUAAAAGGACAAAUUGCUUUUUACGCAGACAUUACAGUUCCAAAUCCCUCAUCCUCAAGCCAUUGUGGCAGUCCACUGAGGUCUAACACCUUGUUAGCAUCUAUCUCUCUGCACUAAUACACUCAUUACAAAGUACUCUCUGGUCCUGUAUAGCUGCCAAAUUGUCAGUAACAUUUUCAGGCCAAAUUCUUGCUAUUUGGUCUGGUUCCAGUGCUCUUAAUAAAUUAGGUUUAGUGUGGACAGCAAACUAACACCGUGAUGAUGGGAACAAUUUUAACUCUGGGAUAUGAGCUGAUGGAAAACUACAACUCCCAGCAUUAUCUGACUGAGGCUGAACUACUCCAGUAUGUUGCAGCAUACAUGCAUUUACAUGCAAUUAUUAACUGUGCAUUGUAAAACUGUUCUUGCUCUGGAAUCAAAUUCAGGACACAAUACUAAUAUUACAAAGUAUAUAGCUUGUGUUUGUCAAUGCAACCCACAAAAAUAAAACCUAAUUGAACACUGAGGCUAAA